rnacentral:rRNA from 1 species
UUUAUGGAGAGUUUGAUCCUGGCUCAGGAUGAACGCUGGCGGCGUGCCUAAUACAUGCAAGUCGAGCGAACGGACGAGAAGCUUGCUUCUCUGAUGUUAGCGGCGGACGGGUGAGUAACACGUGGAUAACCUACCUAUAAGACUGGGAUAACUUCGGGAAACCGGAGCUAAUACCGGAUAAUAUUUUAAACCGCAUGGUUCAAAAGUGAAAGACGGUCUUGCUGUCACUUAUAGAUGGAUCCGCGCUGCAUUAGCUAGUUGGUAAGGUAACGGCUUACCAAGGCAACGAUGCAUAGCCGACCUGAGAGGGUGAUCGGCCACACUGGAACUGAGACACGGUCCAGACUCCUACGGGAGGCAGCAGUAGGGAAUCUUCCGCAAUGGGCGAAAGCCUGACGGAGCAACGCCGCGUGAGUGAUGAAGGUCUUCGGAUCGUAAAACUCUGUUAUUAGGGAAGAACAUAUGUGUAAGUAACUGUGCACAUCUUGACGGUACCUAAUCAGAAAGCCACGGCUAACUACGUGCCAGCAGCCGCGGUAAUACGUAGGUGGCAAGCGUUAUCCGGAAUUAUUGGGCGUAAAGCGCGCGUAGGCGGUUUUUUAAGUCUGAUGUGAAAGCCCACGGCUCAACCGUGGAGGGUCAUUGGAAACUGGA